CUAGUUGGUGAGGCAACGGCUCACCAAGGCGACGAUCGAUAGCUGGUCUGAGAGGAUGAUCAGCCACAUUGGGACUGAGACACGGCCCAAACUCCUACGGGAGGCAGCAGUGGGGAAUAUUGGACAAUGGGCGCAAGCCUGAUCCAGCCAUGCCGCGUGAGUGAUGACGGCCUUAGGGUUGUAAAGCUCUUUCGCUAGGGACGAUAAUGACGGUACCUAGACAAGAAGCCCCGGCUAACUUCGUGCCAGCAGCCGCGGUAAUACGAAGGGGGCUAGCGUUGUUCAGAAUUACUGGGCGUAAAGCACGUGUAGGCGGGCUUUUAAGUCAGGGGUGAAAUGCCAAGGCUCAACCUUGGAACUGCCUUUGAUACUGGAAGUCUUGAGUCCGGGAGAGGUGAGUGGAACUGCGAGUGUAGAGGUGAAAUUCGUAGAUAUUCGCAAGAACACCAGUGGCGAAGGCGGCUCACUGGCCCGGAACUGACGCUGAGACGCGAAAGCGUGGGGAGCAAACAGGAUUAGAUACCCUGGUAGUCCACGCCGUAAACGAUGAGUGCUAGUUGUCGGCAUGCAUGCAUGUCGGUGACGCAGCUAACGCAUUAAGCACUCCGCCUGGGGAGUACGGUCGCAAGAUUAAAACUCAAAGGAAUUGACG
rnacentral:rRNA from 1 species